CACUGGGGAGCAGACAGUUCACGGGCGCUGCCCCGGCUGGAGCCCAUGGGCUGAUGAACUGGGCAACUGCACCGUCUUCUUCCUCAUGGUCUUAUUCCUGUGCAUCUGACCUGUAACCUUCCAUGAGAUCUUUGGGCUCACCCAUUUUCUGAAGAAUGGGCAAAGCCAUUUGGACAAGUUGUGUCUGAAUACGAGCAGAGGGACACCAGUCAAAUUGGAUGAAGACCCACGCACAUGAACUCAUUUUACCUUAAUUAUCUCUGAAAAGGUCCUACAACUGCAUAUAGUCAUAAGGUAAGGUACAGGGGUUUAGGACUUUAAGUUAUGAAUUUAGGGAAGGGAAAAUGUAAAUGUUAGGCUUUUCCCUGUAGAGAAAAGUGGUUUCUCCAGUGUUUAGGCCUAGACUAUAACCACCACUCCUACACUGCCCUCAGCUCAGAAGAAUGGGCAGAAUAUGCAGAUUAUGGCACGGGGAGGUCAACAUCGAGUUUCAUUUUCACAGGAAAAGUAGGGAGAAGACAGGGUCCAGAAAGGGAUGGAACGCAUUUGGACACGUCCAUUGUCUCACUGUACACCCCCCACCCCCCGGUUAUCAAAGGCCCUAUGAUACCUGUACCUAUGCGGUGAAAUGGUGAUUUCAGUGAGGCAGCUCCUCCAUCUCCAGGGAACUAACUUUAAAUAAAUCCCUUUGAGUUACUACCAAGAUAAAUAGCCUCCUUUGAUUAGGUCAGUGGCAGCAAACAAGCAAAUAUAAUGGUGUGGACCCAUGUGGCCAGUACCAAGCACAUAACACACCACGGGAGGAGAGACAGGGUGUAUGUGCUGGAUGUGUACCGUGAGUGGAGGAACGGACUUUUGCUUUCACGCAAGUUUAAAAACAUCUGUUGAUGUAGUGUUUUCCUGAAACAGUCCUUCCUCUCUCUAGUCCCACGGUUUCAAACAACUAUGAAUCAGAAAUAUUCUUUUUUUCCUGUACUGUGUUAUUUUUUUGGCCUAAUAAGUCUGGUUGUUCAUCUACACAUAUGACAGUUAACUUUAUAAGGACUUAUAAAUAAUUCUGAUGCUGCCAGCAGUGGGGAGAGCUUGGAGAGGAAGGGAAAAAGAAAGUAUGGAGAUGUUAUGUACCUGGACCAGUUCCCCACAAUGAAUGCAAUCAUUAUGUACUUCAAACAUGUACUAGUAGAUUUAAAAAACAAAAACAAACAAACAAAAAAAACACUUUCAGACUACGUAUCGUUAAGUCGCUGCGUUACCCAAACCUUGUUGUAAUGCGGGGUCCUCUUAUCUCACCCUCCCAGAAUGCUGGGCUUAAGCACGCCCCACCAUGCCUGUCCAAAUAUAUUCUCUAAAAUAUCACUUCUGUACUGAAUACAUAUAAACUUUUCCUUGUCUUUAUUCCUUACACAAUACAGUAUAACCAUUCACAUAGGAUUUUCAUUGUAUCAGAUAUUUCAAGUAAUUUAGAGGAGGCUUAACCUGUGAGGGAGGAUUUAUGUAGGUUAUGUACAAAUACUGCACCAUAAUGUAUAAGGGUCUUCAGCAUCUGCAGGUUGUGAGUAUCUGCAGGGGUUCCUAAAAGCAAUUCCUCAUGAAUAUACAGGGAUGACUUUAUAUCUCAAACCAACAUGCACUUGAAAUAUAGCAUCUUAGCUAAGACACCCUUGUCUUUAAGAAUCCUGAGGUCAUCCCGUCAGAGGUGGUAUCUCUGAAACCUCUAAUGACACCUCUUUUUCCUCUUUUAUACUAUGUCAUACUCUACCUCAUUUUAUGAUCACUUUAUACUUAUAUUUACAGACAACAGAUGAUUUAUUGCAUGAAAUCCAGGUAAUUGUUGACUCAGAAUUCCCCCGAGGUGUAUGAUCUAUUGUCUAGAAUAUGAAUAUUUGUUGAGAAUUCCAAGUAAGAAGAAGAAAAUUUUGAAAGGCAGAAGGUCGGGUGACCAUGUCUUUUGUUGUUUAUUAUUUCUUGUUUUGUUUUUGUGAGAGAGGGGGUAGGAAUGAAGGGGCAGAAAGAAGCAUGAAAAAUGUUAGAUGAGAUCCAGGCUGAAAAAGCUCUUAAGUUAGAGGCCAAUAAUAUGUCACUUUUGAGAUAUAAUGGUUCAAAUACUUUAACUUUUUCUUGAUGUUCUUAGUAAGCCAUAUUCCAGUUAAAUAGUUUUAUAUCUUCUAGCAGUAGGAAAAUUUGUUUAUUCAAUCAAACACAUUUAAUACUGAUCUCAACACAGCAAGUGGUACAUGGCUAUGGUAUCAGCUACUUAGGAGACAGACAGGAGGAUCUCUUGAGUACUUGAGUUCAGAAUUUGAAAUCAGCACUUAUCUCUAUCAUCUGUCUAUCUAUCUGUCUACCUUCUCCACAGUCAGCUAGGGUGUGGCUUAAGGGGGCAACUUACUACGCUGCCGCAAAUGUGAUCUCCAGUUCAGUCUGGUGUGCCUUGUGAAGCAGGAAGAGACUUGAAGGUCCGAGCUAACGUGCUUUAUACUUCUCACAUCCCUCAACCUGGUCUUACACUUGUGCGUGUGUGAUCAUAACUCCAUCUGUUGCCAGCAGACUGUGAUAUUUAUUGCUGUGAAAAUUCCCAUGGCAAAUUUGUUUCCAUGGUACAUUUGCCACUGUAAAUGGACGUGGAGCCGUACAUGUGAUGCUUCCAACAUAGCAGCUUUUUUUUCAGUUCUUAGAAUGAGGAUGUUGUGAUUUUUUAGAAGUUCCUGUUUGCUUGGUAUAUUAAAAAUAGCAAUUCAUUCUUUUAAUAGAAUAAAUUAUUACUCAAACACUUUUUAAGUGAAGUUUCAUCUAUUUCUAAAUUUAAUAAUGUGUUAUCUUAAAAUUUGAGUCACCAUCUCCUUCACAGGUAUGAUGCUUCCAUUUAAGAAAGGAGCACAGGACAAGAUUUGACAGUCUGUACAGGAACUGUGGGGGAGGGGACAUGAACAUGAGGCCCAGUCGCUAAAUCGUUCCACACUGAGAACUGUAUAGAUGGAUUUAAGGUUCAUUGCGAGUGGCUCGGGGCUAUUUCUGAGAAGCACGGGGAAGAGUACGAGAAGUGGACAUGCUGGCUCGUGGCGUGCUUGUAGUCACCCACCGAGAAGGACACAGAUACUCCGUAAGUUUACCAGUGGUCCUCAGUGUGGAAUACCUACAUUACCCCCUUUUCUCUCCCAUGAAGGCUGUAUAAGUUUCUGAGUCUCAUUGGAGAAUUGGGUGAUCACAUUCCUGUGAAGCCCCUGUGUACAAUAACAAGUGUAAAUGAUUUCCCUCAUCAGUCUGUCUAUUGUUCAUUUCAGUGAAGGUUCAGAGGGCAGAGUAGAAAUUUUCAUUGUCCCCUACAUAUACAGAUGUGGUAGACAUAGCGCGAUAACUGUUGCAACGCAGUGGUGGAUAAGACACUCCGCAGGCGUGUGUGUGUGGCAAGACACUUGCAGAAGUACGUUGUAUUUAAAAAAAUGAACAAGGGCAACUGAGAGAAAUGAUAAUUGAAUAUCAGCAAAUAUCUUUUAGAAUCCAUGCUAUGUACAAAGUGCUGGGCUAAGUAUUUUGCGGUAGUAGUUAAUACUCACUUACUAGUCUGUUACUGUCAGCCGAAUUUUGGUACAGUGACUGAUGGAGAAAUCAGUGGCAUCAAAGGCCGCGGAGAUACUCACUGCACUGAGAAUGGAGCGCGUCAUGGAUUUGGCAGCCAGAACACCGGAGUGAAGCCUUCUGUACUUCUACCCCCCAGGGAGUCCAAGGAACAUACACACUGUUGGGCACACACGCAGGCUUGAUAGAGGAGGUUCACCCGGGGGACUUCUUUGGCAGAGGCACACAGCCUAGUUCUGGCUCUUGAAGAGCCCAUAUUCUACAGGAGAAGCAGAGAGGCCCAUAACCAUCUAAGCUAGAA